AAUGCCCUCUGCCUCAACUAAUGCGCAACGCAACUUGUGUUUUCCUUGCUGUUUUUGUGUGUUUUUCUUGGUUUUAAAUGAUUUUCUUGGUUUAUUUGUCAUAUAAUCAGUGAAUUAUUGCGUGUUAUGGUUUUGUUCGCUACCGUUUGUACGAUUGAAUUUCGAUUUUGUGUGAAAACAACGUAGUUAUGUCAAAAGGACGCCACGACGUAUACCUAAAGCUAAGUUCAGUCGAUGCGAUGGUACGUUCGAAAAGUUAAAAAGUGACACGGAAUGAAUCAUGGCGUGCGAUCCCUAAGAAAUAUUACACCCAAGCUGGCACCAUAAAGCAAACGGCGUGGCAGAGGCGAUACAACGAUAGCGACACUGCGAGAACCGACAGACACCACAGAACUCGCCUUUCUGGCCGCUACAGGGUGUUCUGCCUCACGCUUAACACCACUAUCUUAACAUGGAGAUACUUCUAUUAAAGACGGCGAUGUGGGCAGAACAAUGAACUAACAACCAAAAUAAUGGAUGAAAUGACUAUUGCGCUGCACAGAAAAAUGGAUCCAGAGCGCCAGCAUUCAAAGUUGAAAAUAGAGCAACAAGCCUCGGGGCGGGCAAAGAACUAAUGUUGGAUGGCAUGAUGAAAUGUGACAGUUCAUUAUGCGGAAGAUAACGGACGCUACAGCAUACAGGGAACAGUGAAUUGCAGUGAAGAGGGGAGUGGUCCCGAUGUCGGCCCGCGUUUUGAGUUAAAAUACGGCGUUGUACGAAUUAAACGCGUCAUGUGGAAAUGGAAAAGUUUUAAACACAAGAGCUUCCAAGAUGUCGGUGAGUUCGUUCCGACGAUUCCACAAAAAGAAAGUCCACACGGAGCAGUUGGGAUUCAUAUUUAUCACUUCACAGCUGCGCACCUAUGAUCGAUCUUAUCCAAGAUGGCGGCCGGCGCGCCGCGCGAACAGGCGGGAAACAAGCGCAUGCACACCUCCUCCGCCAUAACGGACCCGUCAAUCUUCCGACACAUUUGAAAUUAGAACACUAUAUUCUUCUUUAUAGAAUGAUUCGGACGCAAAAUACGUGCUGACCCGCGGACGGUUUGCGUUGCACUAAAUUAACAAAAAACUGUUUUAACGUAUUCAAAACUUGAAAGCCAUAAAACAUAUCUCCCCCAUUAUUAGUUUAUGGCUUGCGACUGUUACGGGCCUAUUAUGCUGUUAUUUUUCUGUGUAUUGGUGUUUGUUUUGACUGUAUGCGGCGGUCUGGGUUACCGAUGUGGGGUACCAUUACAGAAUGUUUCUAUUGACUAGGUGCCUGUUAUCCGUUUUUAAGUGACUCUAUUAUCAUUCUUGUUCUAAAGAUUGUUCCGUGGCUUUGUAUUUGUUUAACGGAACCUGUUAGAGAGGUAUUUCUUUGACCUAAUAAUCUUUUGUUUCAUCGUUUUAUUGGUAAAGU